AUGCAGUCCUCACGGCCUGGAGGUUUGAGGAAUGUGGCUGCUGGCGGCUCCGCCUCGCCGGAAUGCCCUCAAGGCCUUGCUGCAAGCAGGGGCGCCGGUGGCUAUGGGUUGCAACGAGGAAGAAGGGCUCGCACCUUUUUUUACGCACAUGCAAGUACCGGUGCUUCAACCGGCCAGAUUUUUGCCGGGACCGACAACGAUUUUUGCUGGAACCGGUGUCUGAAAUUGCUGGGGAACCCGUGCAGUGGUGAUUUUUGCUCCGACAUUCGUCGAACUUUGCUAGAACCAGUGUUUUGUUUUGUUGGAACUAUCUUUUUUGUUUGCUACAAUCGAACUAGUGGAGUCUCCUUGCUAAGUUUAUUUUGCUGGAACCAAUGUUUAUUUUCGCUGGAACUAGCAAUCUUUUUUGUUAUAAUUUUUUUCUUUUGCUACAAUCAAACCACUUGA
rnacentral:rRNA from 1 species